UACGUAGGGGGCUAGCGUUGUCCGGAAUCAUUGGGCGUAAAGAGCGUGUAGGCGGCCCGGUAAGUCCGCUGUGAAAGUCGGGGGCUCAACCCUCGAAUGCCGGUGGAUACUGUCGGGCUCGAGUCCGGAAGAGGCGAGUGGAAUUCCUGGUGUAGCGGUGAAAUGCGCAGAUAUCAGGAGGAACACCGAUUGCGAAGGCAGCUCGCUGGGACGUAACUGACGCUGAGACGCGAAAGCGUGGGGAGCAAACAGG
rnacentral:rRNA from 1 species